CACGUAGGGGGCGAGCGUUGUCCGGAUUUAUUGGGCGUAAAGAGCUCGUAGGUGGCUCGGUAAGUCGGGUGUGAAAUUUCGAGGCUCAACCUCGAGACGCCACCUGAUACUGCUGUGGCUAGAGUCCGGUAGGGGAGCGUGGAAUUCCUGGUGUAGCGGUGAAAUGCGCAGAUAUCAGGAGGAACACCAGCGGCGAAGGCGGCGCUCUGGGCCGGUACUGACACUGAGGAGCGAAAGCAUGGGGAGCGAACAGG
rnacentral:rRNA from 1 species